UCGGGUAUGGUGUAACGGCUAACAUUGCCGCCUCUCACCUGGAGGGCAUCGCGGCAGCUCGGGGUUCGAUUCCCCGUACCCGAA